UACGGAAGGCAGCAGGGGGAAUAUUGCACAAUGGGCGGAAGCCUGAUGCAGCGACGCCGCGUGAGGGAUGACGGCCUUCGGGUUGUAAACCUCUUUCAGCACGGAAGAAGCGAAAGUGACGGUACGUGCAGAAGAAGCGCCGGCUAACUACGUGCCAGCAGCCGCGGUAAUACGUAGGGCGCAAGCGUUGUCCGGAAUUAUUGGGCGUAAAGAGCUCGUAGGCGGUUUGUCGCGUCUGCUGUGAAAGCCCGGGGCUUAACCCCCGGGUGUGCAGUGGGUACGGGCAGACUUGAGUGCAGUAGGGGAGACUGGAAUUCCUGGUGUAGCGGUGAAAUGCGCAGAUAUCAGGAGGAACACCGAUGGCGAAGGCAGGUCUCUGGGCUGUUACUGACGCUGAGGAGCGAAAGCAUGGGGAGCGAACAGGGAUUAGAUACC
rnacentral:rRNA from 1 species